UACAGAGGUCUCAAGCGUUGUUCGGAUUCAUUGGGCGUAAAGGGUGCGUAGGCGGCGCGGUAAGUCGGGUGUGAAAUCUCGGGGCUUAACUCCGAAACUGCAUUCGAUACUGCCGUGCUUGAGGACUGGAGAGGAGACUGGAAUUUACGGUGUAGCGGUGAAAUGCUUAGAUAUGACAUAGAACACCAAUUGCGAAGGCAGCUUACUUCACGAUCAUUGACACUGAGGCACGAAAGCGUGGGGAGCAAACAGG
rnacentral:rRNA from 1 species